rnacentral:rRNA from 1 species
UACGUAGGGGGCUAGCGUUGUCCGGAAUCAUUGGGCGUAAAGAGCGUGUAGGCGGCCCGGUAAGUCCGCUGUGAAAGUCCAGGGCUCAACCCUGGGAUGCCGGUGGAUACUGUCGGGCUCGAGUCCGGAAGAGGAGUGUGGAAUUCCUGGUGUAGCGGUGAAAUGCGCAGAUAUCAGGAGGAACACCAAUGGCGAAGGCAGCACUCUGGGACGUGACUGACGCUGAGACGCGAAAAGCG